AUUUUUUAGGCUUCAUCAUUUAGUGGCGAACUCCUCUGGCCCAUUUAACAGCUUGAAGCCUCUUCGUCCAGCUACAUUUUUCUUCGAAUUCUCACCCACAUUUGGUUUUGGACAAAAGCAGAACUGUGACUCUCAAAUGAGUGGGCAAGAAGGGUCCAUGGAGCGCCCUGAGACAGCAGACCCCACAGCAACACCUUCUCCAUCUGAGGGUCAGGGCGCUGCCUUAAAGACGGAGGAUCAUGUCGGAGAUGGGUCCAGUACAUCAUGGAGAGCUUCAAAGGCUGCUAAGAAAGUAAAAAGGAUGAGGAAAACUAAAAACAGCGAUGUUUCAAAGAGGCAGGAAAUGAAGGACACACUGGAGACAGACAGACUCAGAGUUUUAGUUUUCAAUUUAGUUUUAUUUAGUUUUUUUAAUUAGCUUUUAUUUUUAGAUCUUUAGUUUUUAUGUUAAUUUUAGUUAAAGCUUAAGCAAUUUUGGUAUAUGCUUUUGUCGUUUUAUAAUUUAUUUGUUUAUUUUUUAUGUUGCUAUAUAAUAUUAAUUAAUUUCUAUUUUAGUUUUUGUUUAUUAUUAUAAUUUUAGUGCUUUAAACUUAUUUAAAUUUAUUUUUGAGGCAACAUUUAAAUUUUUCCUUUAGUUAAGUUUUUCCCCAUAAUUUUUAGGUCAAUGUUUUAUUUGAUUUCAAUGAACAGAGACGUUUUCAAAGUUUUAAUUUGAGUAAACAAAAUUAACCUUAACUUAAACAUUUAUGUGAGCUGCUCGAUGGGCUACAUCUGUCUUCAAAGCCCUCUGCCACAGCGACCCCAUCUCCCGUUCCUGAGGAUCAUGAUUUCGGGUCUAACUCGGUUCAUAGAGUGACCCCACUUAACCCAUGUAAGCCGCUUGUUCCAGCCAAAUUCAUUUUUGAGUCAUCAUCCACAUUUGCCAAGUUGUUAUAUUUUGUUCUAUCUGACGAAAGUAUCAGUGCUCUUUUAUUGUUUGGGAACCUGUUUUAAAAUCCUAUUUUGUUAUAUCAAUCAUUGUAUGAACAGGUGUGUCAUUUAUCUACUCUGGUUUGUUCCCGGUGCAACACCACCUUGUUAGUAAAAUUUAGAACAAAUUUAUGAAAAAGUUGUUUUUGCUAUUCAGGUGUGUCAUUUAUUUACUAGUUUAUUGAUUUAUUUCUAACAGCAUUUCAGCAGAGUCAGAAGACAGGCGGCAGGCUGAGAUUUGACAAUUUAUGCGCUCUGCUGUAAAGACAACAAGACUACAUCUGACAUCUUCAGCUCACUGUUACAGUGAUAUGAGACCCCUAAACAUUAAUUUUACAACAAUAGCUUAAAUUUAAAAAGUGCUGUUUAUUAUACUAAAUCUCUGUUUGUUCUGUUUGCAGCUAAAGUUACCUGAAAUGCAGCCCAUGGAUUCUGUGCACAAGCGUGGGGGCGAACUUCCCAUGUUGUCAGGAUAUCAGUUUCUGGUUUACUUUUGCAUCGCCUAUGUGGGUAUUUCUAAAAAAGGGAUAGUUCUCCCAAAAAUGCGACGGGGAAAACAAAAAUUAAAUGUUUUCUAUCGCCAAUAUCAACCAUCAGCAUGAUAUCAGAAAAGUUUUGAGCUCUCCGUUUGUCGCCGCCUUAAGCUGAGCUGUUUCCUUAUAAUGGACCUCUUUGGAGGAGAAAGCGUGUAUCUAAUCAGUGGAAUGAGAGCUCUUUUGUCAGCAGUUAGUGCUUAUUAAAUGUAAAAUUUGACAGAAAUGUGGUUUUUCCCAGUCGUUGUUAAACUAUGUUAAAGGAGUCAUAUUGCACGGCUAAAACGAAUAUUAUUGUUAGUUUUAAAUGUAACGCAAUGUGUAUACACCAUUUAAAGUUUAAAAAACGUUGUAUUUUCCACAUACCGUGCAUGUUUGUAUCUCCUCUUUGCCCCGCCUCUCUGAAACGCGCUGAUUUUUUACAAAGCUCAUGGCUCUGAAAAGCGAGGUGUGCUAUGAUUGGCCAGUUCAACAGUGCGUAGUGAUUGGUCAAAUACUGCAACCAUAUUCGGAACAUCAGGUUUCAAAGCAAUUGAACUGACAGGCGAUACAAUGAGAUUUACAAUUACUCCCACCUUAACUACGUGUAGAUUUGAGCGGUCUUAGUCAAAUCAUGUUACGAAGUUACGUAGAUUCGCCGGGGUGUGGUUACACGAGGCGUUUCAGGCAAGUCUGGUUGAGCAUUCGCUUUUAGAUAGAAUGCAUCUUUUGUUCCCACACUUUCAUUUGUGCAAUUUUACGUGUCUAAUACAUGCAUGGGCAACUUAUAACACCAAAGACACAGAAAAGCACGUACUUCCGCCAUAUGACCCCUUUAAGAAAUAGCGGUGCGAAUGUAAACCGGAAACUGAUAUCCAAACUUCUGACAACAUCUGACGUUCGUCACUACGCUUGUGCACAGAGUCCAUUGAUGUCCAUCAAAUAAACGACCAGCAAAAAAACAUCAAUAAAAGAAUUUCUGCCCUCAAAAGCUCACUAGAAUCUAAAGCGUCCUACCUCCUACAUUAUAAAAAACCGCUGAAGAGUCUGAAAUCAGCCACUUGUUCACAUAUUUACUUUUUUGAAUGGCAUAUAGUGCACUAGAUAGGGGACAGGGAAUGAUUUAGGUGGUACCUAAGUACACUGUAAAAAAAAAAAAAAAAAAGAGUACAAGGCCGUACCUUUCUGUCGUUGGGGUUCCUUUUUGUUCCCUUAUGGGUAUGCAGCCCAUAAAAUGUUGGUAUAUUAUUGCACCCUAGGGACCUAUUUGUGUGCCUUAAGGAUCUAUUGUGUACCAGUUCAAUUCUAGUGGUACUAAACAUUCAACUGUACAUUCAAAGGUACACAAUAGGUCCUUAGGUGCAAUAGUGUACCCCAAAAAGUACAUUUGAUUAUGUACAGAAAAUGAUUGUACUUUUUUUCUGACAGUGUUGGUCAUGUUUAUGCCAUUUUAGUUGGUCAGGAAUCAAACACAAACAUUUGUCAUAUUGUGUCAUUUUUACAUAUGUGUAAUAUACUCUGUACACUAAUAAGCUUGUCUUGUUUUCAUCCGGGACACCCGAGUAUGACAGACCCAGCUCUAGUUUGACUGGAUGCUCAUCCCAGAUUCUCAGAUGCCCGUGUCAAGCAGAAGGAGUCGCAUGGGAGGAAUCGUGGUGAUGGAGGGAUGCCGGGAAAGCUGAGGUAAGAGAAGGUAGGCGGCUGCUUAAAUACACUUGGAGGAUGAUUGACAGGACCAUCAGGCACCUACUCUGGGCUAAAAGGGACAUCUGUAAAAGAAACAUGAGUACAGAAAUGUUUUUGACAUAUAAAUCCAUUCUAGAUAUGUAAUUGUCCAGGUAUAACAUUGUGAGCAUGUACUGUCACUUGCAUAUGUGUCACAAGUGUUCUGUUGAAAAGCUUGAGAUGUGUGACCAGCCUUUAGAAAAUAAAAGUGUCUUUUUGAUGUCUUUGUUUACAUGUGUAAACUUUAUAAUCAUUGUAAUUUAGAAAUAAAAGUUCUUGUAUGCACGAUCUUGAUCUUUUAUGACUUUUGGUUGAUCUUGUGGACCUUGACUUCACAUGCACUGAGCUUUCUCUUGAUCCAAAUUCACUUCAGACUAUACAACAGUAAUCCAGAAUAUCCAUUUUAGUGAUGACAUUUGCUAAAGUGAUCUCAAAACCUCCAAAGGUGGUUAUAAAUCAAACUAAGUGAUGUUUAUUUGUAAAUGUAUAAAAUGCAGGAAGAUUUAUGUUAGUGUUGGGUUCAGGGGGACGGCGAGACUUAAGGUCUUUGCACAUACAGUCCGAAAUUUUCGUAUGCGUUUUUUCUAGUGCUGUCAAUCGAUUAAAAAAAUUAAUCGGAUUAAUCACACAUUUUUUCUGUGAUUAAUCACGAUUAAUCGCACAUAACUAUUAUAUUUUAAAAUAUACUUUUACAUUUUAAUAAUUUCACAUUUAAUCUUCAAAUUGAUGUAGAAACAACAUAUUUCUUUAACAGCAUCAUUUUAUGAAAGCUAGCAUUUUGAUAUUACUACUGUAACUGAUGUCUCUAUUAAAUUGAUUAUUUUAACAUGAAUUAUAGCCAUUCAACAGUAUAAUUGAGAGCUCAUGUAGGAAACAUACAGGAAUUGAAGGACACUUUACAGUCUUUAAUGCUAAAUUAUAAAUUAAAUGCAGAAGAAUUCU